rnacentral:rRNA from 1 species
UUUAAAGAGAGUUUGAUCCUGGCUCAGGACGAACGCUGGCGGCGUGCCUAAUACAUGCAAGUCGAACGAACGGAGGAAGAGCUUGCUCUUCCAAAGUUAGUGGCGGACGGGUGAGUAACACGUGGGCAACCUGCCUGUAAGUUGGGGAUAACUCCG